rnacentral:rRNA from 1 species
UACGUAGGGUGCGAGCGUUUGUCCGGAAUUAUUGGGCGUAAAGGGCUCGUAGGCGGUUUGUCGCGUCGGGAGUGAAAACCCAGGGCUUAACCCUGGGCUGGCUUUCGAUACGGGCAGACUAGAGGUAUGCAGGGGAGAACGGAAUUCCUGGUGUAGCGGUGAAAUGCGCAGAUAUCAGGAGGAACACCGGUGGCGAAGGCGGGUCUCUGGGCAACAACUGACGCUGAGGAGCGAAAGCGUGGGGAGCGAACAGG